rnacentral:rRNA from 1 species
GUGGCAGCAGCCGCGGUAAUACGUAGGGUGCGAGCGUUAAUCGGAAUUACUGGGCGUAAAGCGUGCGCAGGCGGUUUUGUAAGUCAGAUGUGAAAUCCCCGAGCUCGACUUGGGAACUGCGUUUGAAACUACAAGACUAGAAUAUGUCAGAGGGGGGUAGAAUUCCACGUGUAGCAGUGAAAUGCGUAGAGAUGUGGAGGAAUACCAAUGGCGAAGGCAGCCCCCUGGGAUAAUAUUGACGCUCAUGCACGAAAGCGUGGGGAGCAAACAGGAUUAGAUACCCCUGUAGUC